rfam:Apis mellifera strain DH4 linkage group 10, whole genome shotgun sequence.
GAUGGCCAUAAUCGAAGCUAUAAUAUAUUAUAAAAAUUAUUGUAGUCAAAAGAUGGCCAAAAUAAACUUCUUUAAUAUUGGUCACUGAUUGUUCUUACAUAGACUUUUCAGUAUUACCCAUUAAGGAAACAUGA